GUUAUUGGGAGUGCUGUGGACAUUCAGGCUUUCUGGCCCUGGAGAUCUAGGUUUGAAGUUCAGCUCUGCCACUGACUGCAUGACCUGGGUAUGCGGGCCUCUCACUGUGUGGCCUCUCCCGUUGUGGAGCACAGGCUCCGGACACGCAGGCUCAGUGGCCAUGGCUCACAGGCCUAGCUGCUCCGCGGCAUGUAGGAUCUUCCUGGACCGGGGCACGAACCCAUGUCUCCUGCAUCGGCAGGCGGACUCUCAACAACUGCGCCACCAGGGAAGCCCUGUUACAGAUUUUUUUUUUAAAGUAAUCAUAUAUCCCACAACAUCGUGAAGCACUUGCAACCUGGGAUCAAGUGCUGGGAGAGAGUAAAUCACACAAUAAAUAUGAUUUGAUGUAAAGAGUGAGUCAAGAAAUAUCUAGAGCAAGGGACUUGGCCAUGGGAGCUACACUGGCUUAAAGGAGGUCCAUGAGAGACAAGCCAUGUGGCUGACAGGGUCUUAGUGCUCCAGCCAGGUGUCAAGCCUGAGCAUCGUAGGUGGAAGAGCCGAGUUCACGACAUUGGACCACCAGAGAUUUCCUGGGCCCACAUGAUAUCAAUCAGUGAGAGCUCUCCCAGAGAUCUCCAUCUCAGCGCUAAGACCCAGCUACACACAAUGGUCAGCAAGCUCCAGAGCUGGACGCCCCAUGCCAAGCAACUAGCAAGAAAGGAACACAAGCCCACCCAUUAGCAGAGAGGGUGCCUAAAAUCGUAAGUUCACAGGCAGCCCAAAACACACCACUGGACUCAGUCCUGCCCACCAUAAAGACAACAUCCAGCCUCAUUCACCAGAACACAGGCACCAGGCCCCUCCACCAGGAAGCCUACACAAGCCACUGAACCAACCUUACUCACUAGGGGCAGACACCAAAAACUUCGGGAACUAUGAACCUUCAGACUGCAAAAAGGGGAUCCCAAACACAGUAAGUGAAGCAAAAUGAGAAGACAGAGAAACACAAAGCAGAUGAAGAAGCAAGGUUAAAAACCCACCAGACCAAACAUAUGAAGAGGAAAUAGGCAGUCUACCUGAAAAGAAUUCAGAGUAAUGAUAGUAAAGAUGAUCCAAAAUCUUGGAAACAGAAUGGAGAAUAUACAAGAUAGGUUUAACAAGGACCUAAAAGAACUAAAGAACAAAUAAACAAUGAUGAACAACACAAUAAAGAAAUUAAAAAUUCUCUAGAAGGAAUCAAUAGCAGAAUAAAUAAGGCAGAAGAAUGGAGAAGUGACCUGGAAGAUAAAAUAAUGGAAAUAACUACCACAGAGAAGAAUAAAGAAAAAGGAAAGAAAAAAAUUGAGGACAGACUCAGAGACCUCUGAGACAACAUUAAAUGGAAAAAUGUUCAAAUUAUAGGGGUCCCAGAAGAAGAGAAAAAUAAAGGCACUGAGAAAAUAUAUGAAGAGAUUAUAGUUGAAAACUUCCCUAAUAUGGGAAAGGAAAUAGUCAAUCAAGUCCAGGAAGUGCAGAGUCGCAUACAGGAUAAAUCCAAGGAGAAACAUGCCAAGACACAUAUUAAUCAAACUACAAAAAUUAAAUACAAAGAAAAAAUACUGAAAGCAGCAAAGGAAAAGCAACAAAUAACAUACACAGGAAUCCCCAUAAGGUUAACAGCUGAUCUUUCAGCAGAAACUCUGUAAGCCAUAAGGGACUGGCAGGACAUAUUUAAAAUGAUGAAGCAGAAAAACCUACAACCAAGAUUACUCUACCCAGCAAGGAUCUCAUUCAGAUUUGACGGAGAAAUUAAACCUUUACAGACAAGCAAAACUUAAAAGAAUUCAGCACCACCAAGCAGAUUUAAUUUUUGUAACACAAUAUCUAUGAACGAAAAGAGAAAUUGGAAACUUGCUUAAAUAAAAAAGUCAUGAUGAACCUUGUUAUUAAUAUUUUUGGCUAAAGAUAUUUAGAAAAAUAAAUGAGGUAAGGGAAAGCAUAGAGAGUCCUCUUAUUUAUUAAAAAAUAUUACUGAGUUAGAAUGAGUACAUAACCAUGAAACAUAGGUAACAGUAUCUCUGAAUGUGUUUGUAUUUUUUAAAUUAACAUACAUUAAAAUUUAUUCUUUGUUGUUUUUGACAUGAAAUUUUAUGAGCUUUAACAUAUGCAUAGCUUCAUAUAACUACUAUCACAAUCACAGGGUAUGCAAUUGUUUUAUUACUCCAUGCUAUAUAUUAGAUCCCCAGAACUUAUUCCUCUUAUAACUGAAGUUUGUACCCUUUGACCAAAAUCUCCUCAUCACCAGCCCUCACCCCGCCCCUGGAAUUCACCAAUCUACUCCAUUUCUAUAAGUUCAGAUUUUUUAAAUUCCACAUAUUAGUGAGAUACUACAGUAUUUGUCUUCCUCUGUCUGAUUUGUCUUCCUCUAUAAUGCCCUCAAGUUUCAACCAUGUCUUUGCAAAUGGUAUAAGGAAGUUUCUUUUUGUUUCUACUGUGCUGAGUUUUUUGUUUUUAUAAAUGGAUGUUGAAUUUUGGCAAAUGCUUUCCUUGUAUCAGUUGAUAUGACCUAUGGGGUUUUUUUUGUUGUUGUUGUUAGUCUGCAAGUACAAUUGAUUACAUUGAAUAAUUUUCAAAUAUUUAACCAAUCAUGUAUUUCCAGGAUAAAUUGCACUUGGUUGUGGUGUUAUUCCUUUUACAUGUUUCUGAAUUUGAUGCACACUAGUAUUAGGCUGAAAAUUAUUUGAAUCUAUGUUCACAAAGAGUAUUUGUCUGUAGUUCUCUUUUCUUGUGCUAUCUUUGUGGGGUUUUGACAGCAAGAUAAUUCUGACCUCAUAAAAUGAAUUGUAAAGUAUUCUCUCCUAUUAUCUGGGAGAGAUUGUCUGGCCUUGGUGUCAUAUCUUACUUAAAAUGUUUUAUGAAAUUUUCCAGUGAAACUAUUUGGGAAUACAAACCAUCUUGUUUAGAAGGUUUUGAACUACAAAUUAAAAUUUCUUGGGACUUCCCUGGUGGCGCAGUGGUUAAGAAUCCACCUGCCAAUGCAGGGGACAGAGUUUCGAGCCCUGGUCUGGAAAGAUCCCACAUGCUGCGGAGCAACUAAGCCUGUGCUCCACAACUACUGAGCCUGUACUCUAGAGCCCGCAAGCCACAACUACUGAAGCCCGUGUGCCUAGAGCCCAUGCUCCGCAACAAGAGAAGCCACUGCGAUGAGAAGUCCGUGCACUGCAACAAAUAGUAGCCCCUGCUCGCUGCAACUAGAGAAAGCCUGUGCCCAGCAACAAAUAAAUAAAUAAUUUUAUUUAAAAUUUCUUUAAUUAUUACUAUUCAGUUUACAUAUUUCUUCAUGUGUGAAUUUUCAUACCUUGGGACUUUCAAAGAAAUGCUUUAUUUUGUGUAAGUUUUUGGAUU